rnacentral:rRNA from 1 species
UACGGGGGGGGUAAGCGUUGUUCGGAAUUACUGGGCGUAAAGGGCUCGUAGGCGGCCAACUAAGUCGGACGUGAAAUCCCUCAGCUUAACUGGGGAACUGCGUCCGAUACUGGAUGGCUUGGAUUUGGGAGAGGGAUGCGGAAUUCCAGGUGUAGCGGUGAAAUGCGUAGAUAUCAGGAGGAACACCAAUGGCGAAGGCAGCACUCUGGGACGGUACUGACGCUGAGACGCGAAAGCGUGGGGAGCAAACAGG